AGGACGAACGCUGGCGGCGUGCCUAAUACAUGCAAGUCGAACGGUCUUUCUAUGGAAGCUUGCUUCCACUGAGAAGAUAGUGGCGAACGGGUGAGUAACACGUGGGUAACCUGCCCAUAAGAGGGGGGAUAACAUCCGGAAACGGGUGCUAAUACCGCAUAGUUUUCUUGGUCGCAUGAUCGGGAAAGGAAAGACGGCCUUUGUGCUGUCGCUUAUGGAUGGACCCGCGGCGUAUUAGUUAGUUGGUGAGGUAACGGCUCACCAAGACGAUGAUACGUAGCCGACCUGAGAGGGUGAUCGGCCACAUUGGGACUGAGACACGGCCCAAACUCCUACGGGAGGCAGCAGUAGGGAAUCUUCCGCAAUGGACGAAAGUCUGACGGAGCAACGCCGCGUGAGUGAAGAAAAGGUUUUCGGAUCGUAAAACUCUGUUGUCAGAGAAGAACAAGUUGGAGAGUAACUGCUCCAGCCUUGACGGUAUCUGACCAGAAAGCCACGGCUAACUACGUGCCAGCAGCGGC
rnacentral:rRNA from 1 species